rnacentral:tRNA from 1 species
CAUUAGAUGGCUGAAUUAUAAGCACUGGUCUCUUAAACCAUGAAAUAGUAGACAUUACUUCUGAUGG